GAAGUCGGAGAGCCCCCGCCCCGAGCCUCAUCUCCAGCCCCCGGCUCCGGUGAGAAGGAAAAGACCGGACUCUGUGGAGGAGCGGAGGCGGGAUCUUCAACCCCUUCCCCCUUCCCAAUUCAUUGGGGACCUGGCCUUACCCUCGGGCUGCUCAGAGGACUGGAGGACAAACCAGUGGAGGCUCCACUGACACUACGGGAUCUGUUUCCAGGAUAGAUUAAAAAAAAAAAAAA